rnacentral:rRNA from 1 species
AUUGAACGCUGGCGGCAGGCCUAACACAUGCAAGUCGAGCGGUAGAGAGAAGCUUGCUUCUCUUGAGAGCGGCGGACGGGUGAGUAAUGCCUAGGAAUCUGCCUGGUAGUGGGGGAUAACGUUCGGAAACGGACGCUAAUACCGCAUACGUCCUACGGGAGAAAGCAGGGGACCUUCGGGCCUUGCGCUAUCAGAUGAGCCUAGGUCGGACUAGCUAGUUGGUGAGGUAAUGGCUCACCAAGGCGACGAUCCGUAACUGGUCUGAGAGGAUGAUCAGUCACACUGGAACUGAGACACGGUUCAGACUCCUACGGGAGGCAGCAGUGGGGAAUAUUGGACAAUGGGCGAAAGCCUGAUCCAGCCAUGCCGCGUGUGUGAAGAAGGUCUUCGGAUUGUAAAGCACUUUAAGUUGGGAGGAAGGGUUGUAGAUUAAUACUCUGCAAUUUUGACGUUACCGACAGAAUAAGCACCGGCUAACUCUGUGCCAGCAGCCGCGGUAAUACAGAGGGUGCAAGCGUUAAUCAGAAUUACUGGGCGUAAAGCGCGCGUAGGUGGUUUGUUAAGUUGGAUGUGAAAUCCCCGGGCUCAACCUGGGAACUGCAUUCAAAACUGACUGACUAGAGUAUGGUAGAGGGUGGUGGAAUUUCCUGUGUAGCGGUGAAAUGCGUAGAUAUAGGAAGGAACACCAGUGGCGAAGGCGACCACCUGGACUAAUACUGACACUGAGGUGCGAAAGCGUGGGGAGCAAACAGG